GUGGGGAAUAUUCCGCAAUGGACGAAAGUCUGACGGAGCAACGCCGCGUGAGUGAUGAAGGUUUUCGGACUGUAAAGCUCUGUUGUUUAGGACGAAAGUGCCUGUUGCAAAUAGUUACAGGUAUUGACGGUACUGAACGAGGAAGCCACGGCUAACUACGUGCCAGCAGCCGCGGUAAUACGUAGGUGGCAAGCGUUGUCCGGAAUUAUUGGGCGUAAAGAGCAUGUAGGCGGGAAUCUAAGACUGUUGUGAAAAUGCGGGGCUCAACCCCGUAUUGCGAUGGAAACUGGGUUUCUUGAGUGCAGGAGAGGAACGGGGAAUUCCCAGUGUAGCCGUGAAAUGCGGAGAUAUUGGGAGGAACACCAGUGGCGAAGGCGCCUUUCUGGACUGUGUCUGACGCUGCGAUGCGAAAGCCAGGGUAGCGAACGGGAUUAGAAACCCGUGUAGUCC
rnacentral:rRNA from 1 species